rnacentral:rRNA from 1 species
GACGAACGCUGGCGGCGUGCUUAACACAUGCAAGUCGAACGAAGUGGCGAACGGGUGAGUAACGCGUAAUCAACCUGCCCUUCAGAGGGGGACAACAGUUGGAAACGACUGCUAAUACCGCAUACUGCAGGAGGGGAUUGCGUCUGAUUAGCUAGUUGGAGGGGUAACGGCCCACCAAGGCGAUGAUCAGUAGCCUGGCUGGGGAGGUGAACCGGCAACAUGGGACUGAGAAACGGCCCCGACCCCCACGGGAGGGAGCAGUGGGGAAUCUUCCGAAAUGGACGAAAGUCUGACGGAGCAAAGGCGGGUGGGUUAUGACGGGCUUCCGGUUUUAAAGCUCUGUUAAGCGGGACGCGGUACCGGCAGAGAAAGCAACGGCUAACUACGUGCCAGCAGCCGCGGUAAUAC